CAAUAGAUGGUGUUGUACUUCUCGAGCGU
rnacentral:sRNA from 1 species